rnacentral:rRNA from 1 species
UACGAAGGGUGCAAGCGUUACUCGGAAUUACUGGGCGUAAAGGGUGCGUAGGUGGUUCUUUAAGUCUGCUGUGAAAGCCCUGGGCUCAACCUGGGAAUGGCAGUGGAUACUGGAGAGCUAGAGUGCGGUAGAGGGUAGUGGAAUUCCCGGUGUAGCAGUGAAAUGCGUAGAGAUCGGGAGGAACACCAGUGGCGAAGGCGGCUACCUGGACCAGCACUGACACUGAAGCACGAAAGCGUGGGGAGCAAACAGG